rnacentral:rRNA from 1 species
ACGAACGCUGGCGGCACGCUUAACACAUGCAAGUCGAACGAGAGAAGAGAAGCUUGCUUUUCUGAUCUAGUGGCGGACGGGUGAGUAACACGUGAGCAAUCUGCCUUUCAGAGGGGGAUACCGAUUGGAAACGAUCGUUAAUACCGCAUAAUAUAAUUGAACCGCAUGAUUUGAUUAUCAAAGAUUUAUCGCUGAAAGAUGAGCUCGCGUCUGAUUAGCUAGUUGGUAAGGUAACGGCUUACCAAGGCGACGAUCAGUAGCCGGACUGAGAGGUUGAUCGGCCACAUUGGGACUGAGACACGGCCCAGACUCCUACGGGAGGCAGCAGUGGGGAAUAUUGCACAAUGGAGGAAACUCUGAUGCAGCGAUGCCGCGUGAGGGAAGAAGGUUUUAGGAUUGUAAACCUCUGUCUUCAGGGACGAAAAAAGACGGUACCUGAGGAGGAAGCUCCGGCUAACUACGUGCCAGCAGCCGCGGUAAUACGUAGGGAGCGAGCGUUGUCCGGAAUUACUGGGUGUAAAGGGAGCGUAGGCGGGAUCGCAAGUCAGAUGUGAAAACUAUGGGCUUAACCCAUAAACUGCAUUUGAAACUGUGGUUCUUGAGUGAAGUAGAGGUAAGCGGAAUUCCUAGUGUAGCGGUGAAAUGCGUAGAUAUUAGGAGGAACAUCAGUGGCGAAGGCGGCUUACUGGGCUUUAACUGACGCUGAGGCUCGAAAGCGUGGGGAGCAAACAGGAUUAGAUACCCUGGUAGUCCACGCCGUAAACGAUGAUUACUAGGUGUGGGGGGACUGACCCCUUCCGUGCCGCAGCAAACGCAAUAAGUAAUCCACCUGGGGAGUACGACCGCAAGGUUGAAACUCAAAGGAAUUGACGGGGGCCCGCACAAGCAGUGGAGUAUGUGGAUUAAUUCGAAGCAACGCGAAGAACCUUACCAGGUCUUGACAUCGUAUGCAUAGCUCAGAGAUGAGUGAAAUCUCUUCGGAGACAUAUAGACAGGUGGUGCAUGGUUGUCGUCAGCUCGUGUCGUGAGAUGUUGGGUUAAGUCCCGCAACGAGCGCAACCCUUACUGUUAGUUGCUACGCAAGAGCACUCUAGCAGGACUGCCGUUGACAAAACGGAGGAAGGUGGGGAUGACGUCAAAUCAUCAUGCCCCUUAUGACCUGGGCCUCACACGUACUACAAUGGCUGUCAACAGAGGGAAGCAAAGCCGCGAGGUGGAGCGAACCCCUAAAAGCAGUCUUAGUUCGGAUUGUAGGCUGCAACCCGCCUACAUGAAGUCGGAAUUGCUAGUAAUCGCAGAUCAGCAUGCUGCGGUGAAUACGUUCCCGGGCCUUGUACACACCGCCCGUCACGCCAUGGGAGUCGGUAACACCCGAAGCCUGUAGUCUAACCGCAAGGAGGACGCAGUCGAAGGUGGGAUUGAUGACUGGGGUG